rnacentral:lncRNA from 1 species
ACAAAUCAACCUACAAAUGGCAAAAUCAUCAAUUAGGCUUGAUUUGUUUUUGUUAGAAAAAAUGAAGAGAUAGGCUAGCUGAAUAUAAUAAUUUGUUGAAAUAUGAGAGGAAAAAAUAAGAGAGGGUAACUGAGAAACUCAAGCUUUGAUUUGUGGUUGAUGCUAAAAACUUUCAAGUACUGUAACGACCCCAAAAAUUUAAAAGGAAAUGCAUAUAAUAAUUUAAGUUCGGAAGCGAAAUAAAGGUUAAAGUUAACAUCCCUUACACGAUAACUCAAAAGUACUAACAAACAUCAUGGAACAAAUUCUCUGAAAGAAAUACGAAAAAUAGAAAAAAAUAAAGGAAACUAUAAAGUAUCUAGCAUCUACUCGUAGCCUUCUUGCGGAUCGGGCUCAGAAACUGGGUCCUCCUGAUCUGAAAUGGUUAAAUAAGGGGUGAGCUACACUAGCCAAGUAAGGACAUCACAAUAUAUCGCCGUCAUAGAAACAAAGGUUGAUAGAAAACCAAAAACAACCAAUGGAGCACAAAUUUUAAACCAAUACAUUCAUUAAAAUUAAAACCAUUUUUCUUUUUUCUUACCCUUGGAGAACCUGCGAAAAUAACCUAUAAAGACAAUAACAUCAUACAGAUCAUAACUUCAUGCACAAUCAGUAACAUAGAACAUAUCAUAAAUUCAUAUUCAUUAACAAUAACUAAUCAUCACCGUUUCUCAUUUCACCAGCCUACUAGUAUCCAUGGGGAUCCAUAUGGGUUCCCACGCUAUACGUGAACCCUUUCCAUAACAACCUUAAUUCCAGGGUCGUCCCCAUAUCCCGUCCGGUAUGAGUGCUAAGACAUUAAACCUCAAUACCCCAUCCGGUAUGAGGGUCAAGCGGGCCGUCCCCAUACCUCGUCCGAUAUGAGCGCCAAAUAAUCAAGUCUCCAUACCCCGUCCAGUAUGAGACAACGUUCACGGUAGGGUUCCCUAUGAACCCGGUCCGUACACAUCUAUGAUAGGAAAUAGGGUGAGGGGUCCUUACUUGAUUCGACGCCGAAAACUAGAUAGUUACUACACCUACGGGCGGUCCUUGGGUUCCCUGAAUUUUUCUUCGAGAACUAAAACGCGCUUACAGUACCUACAAGUGUCCCAAAUAAACCCAAAAAUCAGACCU